UAGCUGGACCAGGUGAUCCAUAUACAUCAGCUGCAGGUUCAGCUUCCAGCCACCUAUACAUUUGCUAUCUCUCUUCAUCUGUCCUAUCCAAUGAGGGCAUACAAAGCUCCCAAAAAAUAAAUCAGGUAAAAGUGAUAUCACAUUAAUUAAAUAAACAUUUUGUUGUUGUUGUUUGAGACACUGCAGGCACUUCUUGUGCUCACGUUUUGGCUCAGAACAUUCCAAGUGUUGGGGACAGCUCUACUAUCUUCUUGUGCCUCUUGUGCAAGUUCUUUUUGGUUCGAUGUCAAACCAAAAACAAAACCGUACUGACCGGAAUAUAUGACCGUUUUUUUCCCCUUGAAAAACAUCAGCUAAUAAAGUCAGGGUUUGGUAAUGAAAAACAAGUAUUUGUUCCCAGCAGUGAACAGUUAUUUAUAAAACUAGAGUACCCCUCAUGACUGAGUCCAGCCGUCGGUCACAACUACAGCAUCCGUUGGAUGAAAGAUGGAGAGACAUGGUGGUCGUCUGGAACAAAGUGGCUCAACAGCAGACCAAGUCACUCAACAACUGAGGCAGAGAUAUGUUGUAGAUUAAUUUUAGCGUAACAGUUAUCAACACAGCAGAGUGAUUGAACAAAUGUCAAACAGUUAAGACAUAUGGAGUCACAGAGGGGAACAUCCAGAGAUGAUGAGCACAAAAAGAGCAUCUUAAAAAUGCAGAAUGUGGGUUGAGUUGAUUGACAGGGAGGUUGCAGCCUCACUGGCUUCUCAACAACUCCAACAUCUGUGCUGGUGGAUGGACGAACAAAGAAGAAAGCUGCUGAAUGCAGGCCUUUGCUGUGGGCCGACGCUGAGAGUGGACGCUGCCUGCAGAUCAUGUCUUUCUGUUGGGCCCUGGUGGCGAGCUGCAUGUCCAAGCCCCCCUGUCACAGCAGCAGAAGCUGGGAUGACAGGGUCUCCAGGGGUUUCUCUGGAGGAGCUCUGCAUCUGGACUCAUUGGAAGUUUUUCUUU